rnacentral:tRNA from 4 species
GGGCCAUUAGCUCAACAGGUAGAGCAACUGCCUCUUAAGCAGGAGGUUGGAGGUUCGAUUCCUCCAUGGCCCA